rnacentral:snoRNA from 1 species
UCUGUAACAUUGGGGUAGGAAUAUUCUUACCUCCACUGUCUGGCCGAUGAACUCACAAGCGUGGGAAGCGUGCUACAUGAGGGGCAAGUCUUUUGCUAACACCACAAGGCUCUCUGGCCCCAGGAGUAAGUCUGAUAGUAAUUCUUGCUACAAAU